rnacentral:rRNA from 1 species
GACUGCCGAUGACAAAUCGGAGGAAGGUGGGGAUGACGUCAAAUCAUCAUGCCCUUUAUGUCCUGGGCUACACACGUGCUACAAUGGUCGGUACAACGAGAAGCAAGCCAGCGAUGGCAAGCAAAUCUCUAAAAGCCGAUCCCAGUUCGGAUUGCAGGCUGCAACUCGCCUGCAUGAAGUCGGAGUUGCUAGUAAUCGCGGAUCAGAAUGCCGCGGUGAAUGCGUUCCCGGGUCUU